GCGAGGUGGUGCUAAUCCUAGAAAAUUCUUCGUAGUCCGGAUUGGAGUCUGCAACUCGACUCCAUGAAGUCGGAAUCGCUAGUAAUCGCGAAUCAGCAUGUCGCGGUGAAUACGUUCUCGGGUCUUGUACACACCGCCCGUCACACCAUGGAAGCGGAUUGCACCAGAAGUAGAUAGUCUAACCUUCGGGAGGGCGUUUACCACGGUGUGCUUCAUGACUGGGGUGAAGCCGUAACAAGGUAGCCGUAGGGGAACCUGUGGCUGGAUCACCUCCUU
rnacentral:rRNA from 1 species